GAGCAGAGGAAACAGCAGUUAGAGCAUCCUGCAUAUUUAAUCAUAUCUGCACCCUGCCAAAGACUGAAAAUGAACCUCAUAAAAGGUUAUGGCAGUUUUUAUCCCCAUAAAUAGAUGCACUACUGAGGGACUACAAAAAUGUAAAUACACAGCGUAGAUACACACAGGUUUCUUGGGCUUUCUGGCUUUAACUGCUCCCUGAUGCAUCCCAAAAAAUAAAACUACUUCACAUUAUUAAGCGUGAAGCCAGCUUGUGUCAUAUCUGAGUAACAAAGACUGUAAUACUAUGCCACAUGUUUCCUCUCCAGUAAACCAGGCUUUAUACACUCAGUGUUUCUGCCUUCAUCAAAGAGAGAGGGGGGAGAUGUGGAGGAAUUGCUCCCUAAGAGGGGGAGGCGCUCUGGAUUUCUAAAUUGGGCAUAUUAAGCCCAAGAGGGUUAAAUGAGGAAUUAAGACUUGAAGCCAUUUUUUGCAGAGUCUACUGGAUUAUAUACGAGCUCAGAUCAGGAACAUUUUGGAGAACAAUUGGAAAUUUUGUUCAUGUGCGGAUGUGUUGAGGUUAAAUGAAGACAGACUUUAAAAUUAGCUAUGAUAAUUUAAGUUUUGGAGGGAACUAGAAUAUGCUGUGCUAUGAAAAACUAAUCUUCAGUGUAGUAUUAAGCCUGGCAAUUGUCCACGUCAGAGUAGUGGUUGUCAGGACAGUGACAGGCUCAGAUUGUGACUAAGUGUCAGACAACAUUAUGGAUAGGAUUCCUACAGAGAUCCUUUCUGUUUAAUCAGAGACAUCGCUAUAUGACUAUAUUGCUACCAGACUCCAUUGACAAAAACAGCUAUUUUACCGAACAGAACACAGGAGCUGCUGGAAUACCGCUGCCUCCGUCAGCUCCUUUAUGUUACUGUGUGACUUUCAGUGGUGGGAGAUGUAUUCACAUCCCAGUACUGCACCAAUACUCUGUCCUGUAUUUAUGAUCAUAUAUAUUUCAAACUACAAAUAAUGACAAUUUGUAUGACAUUUUGCAUGAUAUUUAUGGUGAUUUACAAGUCACACAACUGAUUAAUGAAUGUGUAUAAAGACACCUGAACAACCUGAGACACCCUGAUGCAGGGAAGAUAUUGUUUGGUGAAUAAAGCACUGGAGGAGAGCUGUGUGGCAUGUUUGAAUUUUAAUGUUAAAGACACUGUGGACAAUGCAACAUCACAUUUUUCUGAUUUUGCCCCAGCAUGCUGUGUGUAUCUACAGUGGAACGAGACAGGCAUCCAAAAGACCACAGAAAAAAGAUUUAGUAGCAUGUUAACAGUGCUACUCAGAAACAGCAGUUCUGACAGACAGAUAUUAGACAGCACACACACACACACACAUACAUACACACAUACACACAAGACUGAGGGCAAGGCUGCAGAAACAAAGCCAAGCAUUCCCAUCUGGUGAGUCCCACAAGUACACACAUGCACACUUGCACAUUUGGUUAUCCCACACCCUGCACCUUAGGAUCAUGUCAGUCUAAAGCUAAUGAAACAAGCUUCAGAGCCAAAAGGUGAAUUAGAAUAAACUGAAAAAUGUGUAGUUUCCAGAGACAAACAACAAGGAAAAAAAAGCUUAAGAGAAAAGGUGGCGGGGUUAUAACAACAUGCUGUGGUACGAUGGAAUGAGAGGCUCCCUCACGCAGCUCCACACCUGACAUAAUGCUGACACUACUGACAGCGGACAAGUUGAAACACAAAUGGCUGCAUUUGUGAAGUUUGUGGAAACACUGCCACAAGGACCGCUGACCUAUUUCCCCCCCGACACAGAAAGGAAGAGUGCAACUGAAAGGAGCAGUGUGUCACAAACUGUGUCCCAGAAACACAGUUUCAGUGAUAGACCCCAAGCUUGAAUAUUCCUGCAGAGACUGCUUAGUUAAGCUGCCGUGCAGUAAGAACAUAACCAGCAUAAAUAAACAUUUUCCUGCAGAUUUAUCUAUGAUCACUUUCAGAAUUGGUAUCAGAAGGAGUUUCCCCAUUUCAACUGGUGAUUGUUCAUGUGCGAGUUGAAAAUAGACUAAAGCACAUCUAUGUAUGCUCAAGAUCAGAUUACAGUCCAUACGGGUACGUUUGCAGCACUCACUGAGCGCUCUGAGAAGCAGAAGCCGGUCGAGCCGGUAUUUAAUCGCUCAUCACUGCCAGUGUCCCUUUGUGAGGCUACACAAUGUAGACACAACAAUGCAUAGACAUUUUUUUUUUUUUACAGAAUAUUGCACGGCAUGAGUCGAUGGCUUAAGUAUUUCAACUUCUUUUUUUAUUUUUUCCACCAUAUUUUCUUAUGAAGGAAGCAGCUUUAACUUGUUUUGGAGGAGUGUUGCAGACACACUGAUGAUCUCUGAUGCCCCGGUCUUCACCUCCUCAGAAAUCCAUGAUGCCAUGGCCUUUUUAGGCAGCAAUUCUUCCUCCUCAGCAUCAGCUUCUCCAGGGUCCUCAGGCUCCUCUUUUUCACCCAUCUCUUUACCCUCGGUGUCUACUUUAUCCUCUGCCUCCUUCAAGAUAAUGAGUGUCCCUUUCUUGUCAC